GGACUACCAGGGUUUCUAAUCCUGUUUGCUCCCCACGCUUUCGUAGUUGAGUGUCAGUAAUUGUCCAGGUCGCCGCUUUCGCCUCUGGUGUUCCUCCCGAUCUCUACGCAUUUCACCGCUACACCGGGAAUUCCACGACCCUCUCCAAUACUCUAGUCUCGCCGUUUCUGGGGCACUUCUUGAGUUAAGCUCAAGGCUUUCACCCCAGACAAACGAGACCACCUACCUACCCUUUACGCCCAAUAAUUCCGAGCAACGCUUGCACCCUCCGUAUUACCGCGGCUGCUGGCAC
rnacentral:rRNA from 1 species